GCAGUUCGGAAGGACCCGAGUCCCUUAACUAACCGAGAGCUAACAGGUCGGGGACUGCGGGACGGAAGAGGGAGGGGAAGAUGAAGAAAAUCGGUGAUGAAUGGCUGGCGGAAAUGAUUGGCGGAAAGAAAGAGCCAGUUCACAGUGCGCCUUUGUAUUCGGCGGGAAACCCGGCCGAAGAGGGAGCUGGAAAGGACUCCGGAAUCCGGCCGUAAUUCCAGCCAAUCAGGGAGUAGAGUUGCGGGGCGGGGUUGGGGCGGGGCAGUCUCGCGGGAGAUAGUUUCGCGGGUUCGGGAGGCGAGUCUCCGGUUUCCGCCCAGUCUCUGGGGACGCGGUGGCGGGGUCUGAAUCGCCUGGCUUCCAGGGAGUUUUGGGCGGGUCCCCGCACGGGAGCGUGGCAGGCGCUGGACUCGACAGCAGAUGUGGAACUGGAGAGCUUGGCGCGCCCUCAUACUUUGUCACACACCUACGCCACCAGACUGGGGUCGGGCCCCUCCGCGUUCUGCUCUGGAGGGCCUGGGUCUGGGCCCAGCAUAGCGCUUUUAGAAUCUCCUCAGCUGAAUCUGACGCUCAGCCGUAGGUGAAGCUUAGCCCGCUGUUUCAGGCCCCGCCGAUCUGGAAGGAGUGUCAGAGCUGGAGCGCGCGUGGCCUCAUCGGUGUUGGGGUCACCCCGGGGUUGCCAGGGCUCAUGGAGGGUCGUAGUCUGGAUUUUGUCACCCCCACGUCCCCGCCCCGCAGCAAGUCUGGGGUUGGAGAACUCACGCGGUCUUCGUAAGCUACAUGCCAGUUGACCCUCGAGGAGGGAUGCUCCCUCCCCUUAAGCGUCCACGCUGGAGAAGGAGUAAGAUGGACAAUUGCCUGGGGAGCCUGACAGGGCGGUGGCAGCUGGGAUGCUGGAGAGGACUGGCCCCUUGUGUUACUGAGUCCAAGGAAUAUGCUUGCUCUGCUCUAGGAACCGCGUUCAGGUUACAGUCAUCCCAGUAGAGUCCUGAAGAUGCGUGGUUCAGGUCACUUAGGACUUGACCAGAUACCGGGUUUCUUUUACAAGCCGUUUACUACUGGCAGAGCUCAUCUAAAACUUUUUUUGUUUGUUUGUUUGAGACGGAGUCUCAUUCUGUCGCCCAGGCUGGAGUGCAGUGGCACGAUUUUGGCUCACUGCAACCUCCGCUUCCCGGGUUCAAGCAGUUCUCUGCCUCAGCCUCCCGAGUAGCUGGGAUUACAGGCACCACCUAAUUAGCCCGCCACCACGCCCGGCUAAUUUUUGUAUUUUUAGUAGAGACGGGGUUUCACCAUCUUGGCUAGGCUGGUCUUGAACUCCUGACCUCGUGAUCCACCCGCCUCGGCCUCCCAGAGUGCUGGGAUUACAGGCGUGAGCCACCGCACCUGGCCUAAAACUGAUUUUUUAUUAAUUUUGGGGCUUUUAAUAUUUUUUUCUUAUUUCUAAAUUCUGAGGUUAUUUAUAGUAGCCCCAUAUACGGGAUUAGAUAAUCUCUUGUGAUUUUCUAUUUCUGGUAAUUAUUUCUAAUAUAUGUUUUUUUGUUUUUGAGACGGAGUCUCGCUAUGUCGCUCAGGGUGGAGUGCAGUGGCAUGAUCUCCGCUCUUUGUAGCCUCUGCCUCCCGGGUUCAAAUGAUCCUCCCACCUCAGCCCCCCGAGUAGCUUGGACCACAGGUGCAUGCCACCACGCCGGCUAAUUUUUCUAUUUUUGGUAGAGUUGGGGUUUCACUAUGUUGACCAGACUGGUCUAGAUCUCAAGGGAUUAGUCUCCCUUGGCCUCCCAAAAUGCUGGGAUAAUGGGCAUGAGCCACCGUGCGUGGCCUUAAAGUUACUAUUCUUAAAGUUUGCACAAGUGAUAUGUUAAAGGCACAGACUUAGUAAUAUAAUGUCAUUAUAAUAAUAACCCUAAAACACAUUGUCUCAUAUUGUGUUGUACCUAAACAAGUGAAAUUAAGAAGAAAAUUGAAGGAAAUGUUUCUGGUAAAUUGCAGAUAGUGAAUCUUUUGUCUUAUACUAUCAAAUAGGUAUUGACUAUUCCAGCUUUCUUAUUUGUUGAGGAAGAUGGCAGAAAUCCCGUUUUACAGAGGGAUAGACUUUGAAGGAUAAUACCCAAAGCUGCAUAGCUGUGGCUGGUAUAGGCCCCAAACCUGAUGUUUCUUCUCUAAAUCUACUGCCUUUGCCAUCUCAACAGCCUGGUUUUUGACAGUUAUCUAUGUAUGAGUUGCAUAAAUCGUUCAUUCAUGGAGCAAAUAAUUAUUGAGUGGCCACUAUGCCAACAGCACUGCUAUAGAUGCUAGAGAUACCCUAGUGAACCAGCAAAGUUUCUGCUCUCAGCUCAUAUUCUGGUGGAGGAGACAACGAUCAAGUUAAAGAAAUACAUAGGCUAAUUUUAGAGAUUAUGACAUGCUAUAUUUUAAAAAUAGGCAAGCUAAGAGGAUAGGCAGUGAUGCUGGGAGGUGGGAAAGUUUUGUCUCAGAAAUGUGGUAAGAGAUUUCUUUGGGCAUCUGACUUCAGCAGAAACCUUAAUGAAGAGAGGAACUUGGAAUGUAAAAGAAAGAAAGCAGGGAUUUGCUCUGAGCAACUGGAAAGAUGGAAUUGCCAUUCGCUGAGUUGAAAUAAAGUAAAAUGUAGGACUAGGUUUUGGGGUUAAGAUUAUGAAUUCGGCUUUAGACAUUUUUAGAUUUCUCUUAGACAUCCAAAUGGAGAGAAGAUAUUUAAAUCCAUGGGAUUGAAUGAGAUCCAACCAAGGGUAUUGUAGGUAGAGAGAGGACCAAAGACUGACACCUAGAACCUUUCAGUGUUCAGAAUGCAAGGAGACAGGAGGAACCAAGAGGGAAGAUUGAAAAGGAGAGUCCAGCUGGGAGCUGUGGCUACACCUUUACUAAUCCCAGCACUUUGGGAGACCAAAUACAGGAAGAUCACUUGAAUCCAGGAGUUUGUAGAACAGCCUUAGCAACAUAGCAAGACCCUGUCUCUACAAAAAUAAAAAUUAAAAAAUUUGCCUGUAAUCCGAGCAUUUUGGAGGCCGAGGUGGGUGGAUCAGCUGAGGUCAGGAGUUUGAGACCAACUUGGCCAACACAGUGAAACCCCGUCUCUACUAAAAAUACAAAAAUUAGCUGGGCGUGAUGGCUGGCACCUGUAAUCCCAGCUACUCGGGAGGCCGAGGCAGGAGAAUCCCUUGAACCUAGGAGGCAGAGGUUGCAGUGAGCCGAGAUCACGCCACUGCACUCCAGCCUGGGAGACAGAGCGAGACUCCAUCUCAAAAUAAAUAAAUAAAUAAAAAUUUAAAAAGUUAGCUGGGCGUGGUGGCAUGUACCUGUAGUCCCAGUUACUCAGAAGGCUGAGGUGGGAGGAUCCUGUGAGCCUAGGAGUUGGAAACUUCAGUAAGCUAUAAUCAUCACACUGCACUCCAACCUAGGCAACAGAGCAAGACCCUGUCUCUUAAAAGGAAAGGAGAGUCCAGUGUGUUCUAAGGAAAACCCCAAGAGCAUCCCACCUUAGAAUACAAGUGAGGAGGCCUGGCAUGGUGUCUCAUGCCUGUAAUCCCAGCACUUUGGGAGGCCAAGGUGGGUGGAUCACUUGAGGUCAGGAGUUCUAGACCAGCCUGACAAACAUGGCGAAACCUCCGUCUCUAUAAAAAUACAAAAAUUAGCCAGGUGUGGUAGCGCGUGCCUGUAAUCCCAGCUACUAGGGAGGCUGAGGCAGGAGAACUGCUUGAACUCAGGGGGCAGAGUUUGCAGUGAGCCGAGAUAGUGCCACUGCACUCCAGCCUGAGCAACAGAGUGAGACUCUGUCUCAAAAACAAACAAGUAAACAAACAAAAAAAAAAACAAGACAAGUGAAGAAUGUGUUUCAUGGAAAAAGAGGUAAUUAAUUCUGUCAAGUGUUGCAAAUUGGUCAAAUAAAGAAUGAAAAUCAACCUUUCACAGCAAAUAGAAGGAAAAAAUAUUUUUAUUUAAAUGCUUAUAAAGGCAGUUGCUAGAAAAAAU
rnacentral:lncRNA from 1 species